UUUUAGCCCCGAUAGCAGUGGAAAUCCUUUUGUGCCGGGGUUCGGCACAAAAGAUUGUAACGGAUAGCGGGAUUAGCU
rnacentral:sRNA from 3 species